GCAAACAAUCAAUUUCUCUCUGCUUAUUUUUUUGAUAAAAAGAUUUUCGAUUGGAGCGCGUUAUAUUUCCUUUCCCUUUCCCGCCAGGCAGAGGAGAGGAGGAGGAGCGGGGUGAAAGAAAUGGAGUUGACGUUAAGCGACAACGCUCUGAAAACCUUCGCGCGAUGCAUCACCUGUCUCGCGCGUAUCGGAAAUGAGCUCUCCAUUCAAGCUUCUCCCUCUCAGCUUCUUCUGCACACUAUCAAUUCUUCACGAUCUGCAUAUCAAUCCAUCACUUUCAAACCUGGAUUCUUCGACGUCUACACCGUUUCCACUAACCCCGUGCAAUGUAGUGUGCUUCUCAAGGCCGUUUGUGCUGUUCUUAGGACACCGAUUGCAAAUAUUGAUCACUUGACCGUGAAACUGCCAGAUCCAGAUGCUUCCAAAGUUCAGUGGAUUUUGGACUGCUACAGUGGUAUGAAGAAAACCUACUGGAUUACUUGCAAUGUAGAACCUGACAUACAGAACUUGUCUCUUGAUAGGCAAAAAUUUCCAAGCAACUUUGUCGUGAGGCCUCGAGAUAUGAACAGGUUACUUUCUAAUUUUCAGUCAUCUCUUCAAGAGAUCACUGUUAUUGCAACAGAACCUGCUUCACUACCUCCUGAUUCAGCAAAUGACAUUGGUGGAAAGGCUGUUGAACUUCGAAGUUAUAUUGACCCAACCAAAGACAAUGACUCGUCGCUACACACCCAGCUGUGGAUAGAUCCUAAAGAGGAAUUUUUGCAGUAUGUUCAUACUGGAGAUCCGAUAGAUGUGACUUUCAGUGUAAAGGAACUAAAGGCAUUUCUUUCAUUUUGUGAGGGCUGUGAAGUUGACAUCCAUUUUCAUUUUGAGAAAGCUGGCGAACCUAUCCUUAUGGCACCUAAAUUUGGUUUGGAAGAUGGAUCUCACUCAAAUUUUGAUGCGACCCUUGUACUGGCGACCAUGUUAACAUCUCAACUACAUGAAGGCGCUGCCUCAGAACCUCUGGUGGUAGAUGCCAGAACACAUGCUCAAACUGAAGAAAGAAAUGGAUCUCAUGCGGAGGAAGAAAAUUGCAGAACAAAUACAUCAGAGCUUCAAUCUGACCACACCCGUGUUUGGUCAGACCUCUCAGCAACUGCAGUUAAAAAUAUGAGUGGUUUGGAAGAAAGGCCGGCACAAGAACAAACAGUUUUGAAUGAUAAUGAGCAAAGAGAAAUUCAAAGGAUUAGUACAAUACGAAUUUCAAGAAAAACAUCCGCUGCGGGAAAUAAUCCCACUGGUUCCAACAUCUGCCGACCAACUGAAAAAGAUAGUGUGCAAGCGCCUCAAGAUAUGUUGCAAGAUAAUAAUCAAGCGUUUUCACAGCAUCAUCCCAGUAAUUGGGUAGAUGCUGAGGAGGAGGAUGAAGAUGAUGCGAAUGAGAAUGAGCAGUACAUUCAGGCAACACCACCAUAUUAUGAAGAUUAGAACUAGAACUAUACUGCAAUGGUUCUUCUUUAUCUUGUUAAACCAGUGAAACAGAUCAUACUUUUCCUGGUCAAUAACAUGCCUAAUUUUGAAGAGUAGCUUACAGGGGGAAUAAUGCCAAUGAAUGAACACAAACAACAUUGAAAUAUAUAUACUAUUUUUGUUGACUAUUUGGAGGCAAGUGAGCUUGAACCCCUCAACAGAGCCCACCAAACUAAUCCAGAAGGUUAAGGAAGUAGGUACUUGCAUAUUAUAUUACAUUGGAGCAUGGAUUUUAUGCAAAAUUAGUUAAGGGAAUUCAACUUAAUUGUAUUGUUCAACGGUUUAUACCAAAAUUCCAUGAUUGUACAUUUGACUUUGAUUUUCUGGAUUCAAAAUUCCCUACUUUUAUGUCUCCAAUGCUCCUAGUCUCUAAAUCAUAGUUACUUGACCAAGAGCUAUUACACCCUUA